UGCAGCCACGUCAAAUUCAGUGCUGUCCUACCAUGGCAAGCACUGGCCCAGAAGCUGCCAUAGAAACUCAUUUUUGGGCCCUGUCCUUAGCCCUGUGCUUGGGGUCAGGGAUGAAUGUGGUCACAGACAACA